AUUGAACGCUGGCGGCAUGCUUUACACAUGCAAGUCGAACGGCAGCACGGGAGCUUGCUCCUGGUGGCGAGUGGCGAACGGGUGAGUAAUGCAUCGGAACGUAUCCAAUAAUGGGGGAUAACGCAUCGAAAGGUGUGCUAAUACCGCAUACGCCCUGAGGGGGAAAGUGGGGGACCGUAAGGCCUCACGUUAAUGGAGCGGCCGAUGUCGGAUUAGCUAGUUGGUGAGGUAAAGGCUCACCAAGGCGACGAUCCGUAGCUGGUCUGAGAGGAUGAUCAGCCACACUGGAACUGAGACACGGUCCAGACUCCUACGGGAGGCAG
rnacentral:rRNA from 1 species